rnacentral:rRNA from 1 species
GACGAACGCUGGCGGCGUGCUUAACACAUGCAAGUCGAACGGUGAAGCUCCAAGCUUGCUUGGGGUGGAUCAGUGGCGAACGGGUGAGUAACACGUGAGUAACUUGCCCCGGACUCUGGAAUAAGCGCUGGAAACGGCGUCUAAUACUGGAUAUGACAUCAAGCCGCAUGGUUAUGGUGUGGAAAGUUUUUCGGUCCGGGAUGGGCUCGCGGCCUAUCAGCUUGUUGGUGAGGUAAUGGCUCACCAAGGCGACGACGGGUAGCCGGCCUGAGAGGGCGACCGGCCACACUGGGACUGAGACACGGCCCAGACUCCGACGGGAGGCAGCAGUGGGGAAUAUUGCACAAUGGGCGAAAGCCUGAUGCAGCGACGCCGCGUGAGGGAUGACGGCCUUCGGGUUGUAAACCUCUUUCAGCAGGGAAGAAGCGAAAGUGACGGUACCUGCAGAAGAAGCACCGGCUAACUACGUGCCAGCCGCCGCAGUAA